GACUGCCUCCUGGCUGGGGUCAGUAUAACAUAUAUUCUGCUGAUGAUAUUUGUCUUCAGUGUGCUAGAACUUUUGGUAGCUACCUAUGCGUCUGUCUUUUGGUGGAAACAUAUCUACUCCAGCAAUACCAAGAGUACAUUAUCCUUACCUCAGUCACAUGAGCAAAUCUAACAAGUCAAUAAGAGUUCGUUGUGGAUACAAGUUACCCUCAAUUCAGAAGAAAACCUGGUGCAAAUGGCAAAGUGUGACUAGACUUCUAUAAUCUCAUUCAUUUUGGAUAUAGAAAUAAACUUUUAAAAGUUUU